rnacentral:lncRNA from 1 species
UGGGAGGUGAGCGGCCGGAACACAGGCCCUUUUAUGCAGCCUGCGGCCACCGCGAGCGCACUGCCCCCUGCACAGGACCGAGGGGCAUGGGGGACAGUAUGGCCCCAUCUUCCCAACUCAGAUCUCUUCGAAAUAGCCACCCGGCUGGGGUUUCCGGGGUGAAACACUGACACCUGCUGCUUCCAAGCUGGGAGUUAAGUACCCUGCGAGGGGAAGGGGAGCUGUCCUGUCUGCGCCACCACCACCACCACGGCCUGGGGCCCUUCAUCAGUGAGAGCAUCUGAGCAUCCGCCUUCUGCGAGGCGGUUUGGCCCAGACAUCUGAAGCUCGUUAGCGGCCUGCUCCCAGGGGGCUGACUCCGCCUGGAGAGAAAUAUCCCAGCAGAGCCACAGGGGAUGGAGCAAACAAAGACCAGCGGCUGUUCCCUGAGGACUCAGCCUUGACAGCAGAUCCUGGAAGAGAGUCUGAGACCGGAUUCUGGAAAGGCCUGGCGUCUCUUCCGGAACAGCAGAGCUUCUGCCCAAACAGACUGUCUGAGUGCAGAGAGUCGGAAAUCCUUCCGGCCAGGAGUCCAGAGCCUGCAUCCAGCCCCGCCUGGCUAGCGGAUGGACCCUGUGACCUUGGGCCAGUCCCUGCCCUCUCGGUGUUCUCCGCUGGAAACUGCAGACUUGGACUUGACCGAGUGGCUUCGGUCUGUCGGCUGCUCUUGGGCAAGGACCCUGCCCUCUCCGCUGAGGUGGACCGUGGCGUUUAGCAUCAGAGGGCAGCGUCUGAGCUCCCCUGGUGAUGGGCAGGGCUGUGUGGCUGUGUGGCCCUCCCUCUGUGCGUCUCAGGGCGGCUGUGGGUCCCACAAGGGGGCGGGCCUCGAAGACCUCUGGACGAUGCAGAGCGAGGAGCUGUACCAGACUCGAACCAGAGGGUGCCCCUGCCUGCCCGGAGCCUGGCUCCAUCCCGCCUCCGCCCUGGCUCAGGGAGUGUGGUCCAGGCUUGUAGAUGGAGCUGCUGGCUGCCCACGGGCUCCCAGAGUCCUGGCGGGAGGAAUGUGUGGACCCGGGGCCCAGGCCACCGCAUGAAGUGUCCUUAACGAUGCCCAGAGGGCCUCGGGCCUGUGACAUCACGGACCGCAGUUUCCCAAGUUGGAGCUCAGAGGGCUAAGGCCGUUUCAAAACACAGCACUGCCUUUUUUUUCUUUCUCUUUCCAUUUUGGCUAAGGCAUCCAAUGUGACAGCUGCUGCAUUAGGAAGAUGAAGAGGUGGGGUUCGUAGGCUGACUCAGCUUUAUGGGACCCUAAAAACAAUGGGAACCCUGGGGAGUCUGGCCCCUGCUUCCUCAUGCCCACCUGACCUUGGCUCCUCCGGCAGGACCAGGGUCAGGGGAAGACAAUUGUGACCUCUGCCCUCGGCCCGCUGUGUCUUAUGACUGGAUGUUUGUGUCCCCUUCACGUUCACACAUUGCAGGCCUGCCCCCGCCUGAGUGGGAGUGGGAUAAAGAAAUGAGGGUGGGGCCCCCACGAUGGGAUGUGUCUUUAUAAGAAGAGUAAGAGCCCAGAGAUCUUUCUCUCUCUCUCUGGGAGUCCGCAGAGAGGUCAUGUGCCCACACGGUGACAUGGCAGCCACCUGCCAGCCAAGAAAAGGGCUCUCACCAAGAACUGAUCCGCCAGGAUCUUGAUUUUGGACUUGCCAGCUUCCAGAGCUCUGCGGGAUAAAUGUUAUUUGAGCCACCUAAUCUGCCGUGUUUUGUUAGAGCAGCCUGAGUGGACUAAGACAUCUCUACGAAACAGACAUAAUAACCCCGCCCCUGACAACUGCCAUUAAGAAAUAAAUGCAGGAGUUCCCGAUGUGGCGCAGUGGUUAACAAAUCUGACUAGGAACUAUGAGGUUGCAGGUUCGAUCCCUGGCCUCGCUCAGUGGGUGAAGGAUCCAGCGUUUGCCGCGAGCUGUGGUGUAGGUGGCAGACGCGGCUCGGAUCCUGCGUUGCUGUGGCUCUGCUCCAAUUAGACCUCUAGCCUGGAAACCUUCCUAUGCCAUGGGUGUGGCCCUAGAAAAGACAAAAAAAUAGAAAAGUAAAUAAAAAAAAUAAAAAAGAAGUAAAU